UACGAAGGGGGCUAGCGUUGCUCGGAAUCACUGGGCGUAAAGCGCACGUAGGCGGAUUGCUAAGUCAGGGGUGAAAUCCUGGAGCUCAACUCCAGAACUGCCUUUGAUACUGGCGACCUUGAGUCCGGGAGAGGUGAGUGGAACUGCGAGUGUAGAGGUGAAAUGCUUAGAGAUGACAUAGAACACCCAUUGCGAAGGCAGCUUACUACGCCUAUAUUGACGCUGAGGCACGAAAGCGUGGGGAUCAAACAGG
rnacentral:rRNA from 1 species